rnacentral:rRNA from 1 species
GACGAACGCUGGCGGCGUGCCUAACACAUGCAAGUGGAGCGACGAACCGGGCUUCGGCCCGGGGCAAAGCCGCGAACGGGUGAGUAACACGUGGGUAACCUGCCCUGAUGAUCGGGACAACCCGGGGAAACUCGGGCUAAUACCGAAUGUGCCCUCCGGCCUCAAGGCCUCUGGGGAAAGGAAGCUUCGGCCUCCGCAUCGGGAUGGGCCCGCGGCCCAUUAGCUUGUUGGUGAGGUAAUGGCUCACCAAGGCAACGAUGGGUAGCUGGUCUGAGAGGACGAUCAGCCACACUGGGACUGAGACACGGCCCAGACUCCUACGGGAGGCAGCAGUGGGGAAUCUUGCGCAAUGCGCGAAAGCGUGACGCAGCAACGCCGCGUGGGGAAGAAGGCC